ensembl:misc_RNA 7SK 7SK RNA
GGAUAUGAGGGUGAUCUGGCUGCAACAUCUGCUACCCCAUUGAUCGCCAGGGUUGAUUUGGCUGAUGUGGCUGGUUAGGUGGGUGUCCCCUUCUUCCUUCACCACUCCAUGUCCUUUCCAAAGCUGCAUGCUGGGCGGAAGAGGAUGGCCUUCUCCGAAUAGAGGAGGACUGGGCUUCGGUCAAGGGUGUACAAGUAGCUGUGCUCCCUUGCUAGAACCUCCACACAAGCUCUCAAGAAUGCGCAUGUAACUAAACUAGAAAUACUACAAAGAAGAACGAGAACAUGGCUAAGUU